rnacentral:lncRNA from 1 species
CUCCUAGUCGCAGCAAGCGCGGAACUGGGGUUGCGGCGUCUAAGUGUUUCCGGUGGAUUCCCAGGGACUGUCGGAGGUGUGGACUCUGCCUGCCUACCUGGUCUGGGAAGAUGUUCUACCAUUCCAUCCCUUCAGAGAUGGAGUUUGAUCCUAACUCCAACCCACCAUGUUACAAGACAAUGGAUGAGGGCUUGUAAGCUGAGCCUGGUGGCCUCCUACCCUUGGUCCUACUCUAGGAAGUGUGAUUGUCACACUUAUCAUGUUGUCCAGAGGUCCAGUCUGGCUGCUGUUGUGGAGGCAAGGAAGGCAACUCAUCCCAGAAGGCAUCUGGUGCUUCUUGUAGCUUAACUACUGCCUCCUCAUUUUUCAGUAUGUGUUCUAAGUAUAAAAAGUCCUUGGUUCUCAUGG